GUGCUCACUUCCGCAGAACCUAAACUAAAAUUGUAACAAUACAGAGAAGAUUAGCACGGUCCCUGUUUAAAGAAAUAUAGAUAAGCAAAAGUCUACAACUAAUA